UGCGUAGAUAUCUGGAGGAACAUCGGUGGCGAAAGCGGCUCNNUGGGACGACACUGACGCUGAGGCUCGAAAGCGUGGGGAGCGAACGGGAUUAGAUACCCCGGUAGUCCACGCUGUAAACGUUGUGCACUAGGUGUGGGGGGUGUCGACCCCCUCCGUGCCGGAGCUAACGCAUUAAGUGCACCGCCUGGGGAGUACGGUCGCAAGACUGAAACUCAAAGGAAUUGACGGGGGCCCGCACAAGCGGUGGAGCAUGUGGUUUAAUUCGAGGCAACGCGAAGAACCUUACCCAGGCUUGACAUCCCGAGACCGCCAUGGAAACAUGGUUUUCCCUUCGGGGACUCGGAGACAGGUGUUGCAUGGNNNUCGUCAGCUCGUGUCGUGAGAUGUUGGGUUAAGUCCCGCAACGAGCGCAACCCUUAUCUUUAGUUACCAGCGGUUCGGCCGGGCACUCUAGGGAGACUGCCGGUGAUAAGCCGGAGGAAGGUGGGGACGACGUCAAGUCAUCAUGGCCUNUAUGCUUGGGGCUACACACGUGCUACAAUGGCCGGUACAAUGGGUCGCGAACCCGCGAGGGGGAGCCAAUCUCAAAAAGCCGGUCUCAGUUCGGAUUGGAGNCUGCAAUUCGACUCCAUGAAGCCGGAAUCGCUAGUAAUCGCGCAUCANNNACGGCGCGGUGAAUACGUUCCCGGGCCUUGUACACACCGCCCGUCACAUGACCCGAGUCGGGUGCAC
rnacentral:rRNA from 1 species